rnacentral:rRNA from 1 species
UAUGACGCUUAGGGGGGCUGAGAGGCUGAUCCCCACCGAUGGUACUGAGACACGGACCAUACACCUACGGGUGGCCGCAGUCGAGAAUCUUCCGACAUGGACGAAAGUCUGACGGAGCGACGCCGCGUGAUUGAUGAAGUCUUUAGGGAUGUCAAAAUCUUAUCUGAAGGAAGACAGUUAUUGACGUUACUUCAGGAAUAAGGGGUUGCUAAACUAGUGCCAACAAGCAACGGUAAUGCGAUUGCCCCCAAGCGUUAUCCGGAAUUAUUGGGCGUAAAGGUUCCGCAGCCGGUUAUAUUAGUCUGUUGUCAAAAAUCCCGGCUCUACUGGGAAUCGGCAUAAGAAACGGUAUGACUUGAGAAUGUGAGGGAUGUACGGAACUCAUGCUUUAGGGGUGAAAUCCGUUGAUAUCAUGGGGAACACCAAAAGCGAAGGCAGUACACUGGCACAUUUCUGACGCUGAGGGACGAAAGCGUGGGUAGCGAAUGGGAUUAGAUACCCCAGUAGUCCACGCCGUAAACGAUCCAGACUUGUUUUUGGGAGAAUCGACCCUCUCAGAGACGGAGCUAACGCGUUAAGUCUUGGCGCCUGGGUAGUACGGUCGCAAGGCUAAAACUCAAAGGAAUAGACGGGGACUUGCACAAGCGGUGGAUCAUGUGGCUUAAUUCGUCGAUAAGCGAAGAACCUCACCAAGACUAGAUAUCUAUGUGAAAGCUCUUAGAAAUAAGAGUCCUCUUCGGACUCAUAGACAGGUGAUGCAUGGCCGUCGUCAGUUCGUGGUUUGAAUUGUUCCCUUAAGUGGGGUAACGAACGCAACCCUCGUCGUGUGUUACAAGUGUCACACGAGACUGCUCCCGCA